rnacentral:rRNA from 1 species
CUACGGGAUGCAGCAGUGAGGAAUAUUGCACAAUGGGGGGAACCCUGAUGCAGCAACGCCGCGUGGAGGAUGACGCAUUUCGGUGUGUAAACUCCUUUUAUAUGUCAAGAAAAUGACGGUAGCAUAUGAAUAAGCACCGGCUAACUCCGUGCCAGCAGCCGCGGUAAUACGGAGGGUGCAAGCGUUACUCGGAAUCACUGGGCGUAAAGGACGCGUAGGCAGGUUGGAAAGUCAGGUGUGAAAUCCUACAGCUUAACUGUAGAACUGCACUUGAAACUUCUAAUCUAGAGUAUGGGAGGGGGAGAUGGAAUUAGUGGUGUAGGGGUAAAAUCCGUAGAUAUCACUAGGAAUACCUAAAGCGAAGGCGAUCUCCUGGAACAUUACUGACGCUAAGGCGUGAAAGCGUGGGGAGCAAACAGGAUUAGAUACCCUAGUAGUC